UAAAAUUUUUUAUCAUGUUGUUUUAUUAGAAUUACUUAAACAAUUUUGAGUCGAUUGCAACAAAAUCUUGCUCAGAAAUAGAUAAUUACUAAGUCAUUAGCAAUAGUGUAAUGUACCCAUUAUAAAUAUCCCUUUAACGUUAUAAUUAUCAUUAUCAUUAGUAAACAUCUUUCAUUAUCAUUAGCAAACGUCUUAAAUUUAAUUUGUAUCAUCUACAUCCGGCAUGUUCAACUUUGUACCUAAUUACUUUACUAUCUCGAGUCCACUUUUAUUUGUACAUUCUUCCGCUUAUCGCCUUUCAUCCCUCUAUAUAUAAGAAAUCAUUUUUAUGUUAUAGGGCAGUCAGAAUAAGUUAGUUGUUACUGUACGACCUAAUGUCAAUUCCAAAUUCCAAGUUUUAAUAAAUUAUAGUAGUAGUUAGAAGUAAAGUACUGGAGUUUCUCUUUCCCAUCACCGGACCAUCACAAAAUUGGUGUCAGAAGUGGGAUCGUAAUAGUGCGGUUGGAAAAUUUAUUUCAAAUUCAAUUUGAAAUUUCAAUCAGCAAGUUUGGGAAACUUCGAUUUGGGCUAUCGUCCAUCAUCCAGUGGUGCAACAUCCAGGUCUUCAAGGUUCGUGUAUUCGUGCUACCUGCUGCAUCGUCGCUACCAUAGGUGACAAACGGCGAUAUUCAACCCCAGACGUGAAGGUUUUCGAAAAUCGUGUGGUCCAGUGUAACAUAAUGGGAUUCCAGCAGUUAUCUUCCCUUGUGCAACUCAUUCUGUCUAUCAGCUUAUUAGCAACACUUGAAUACGCACAAAUCACCGAUCAACAACAGUACACCGUAACACCGAUUAACCAUUUCUCUGGUAUAUAUUUUGAACACAUAAAUAAUGUGAAAUUUCAAGAGACACAUUGGCAAAUAGUAUCCUACCUCGAUAUAAGUUCAUUAGAAGAUAAGUUAUCGUUCAUUGAUCAUGCUUAUAAUCAAACUUUGCAUCUUUGCCAAAGUAAUCAACAUUCAUUAAUGGCGUUAUGUCAAUCAUCGUUAAAACUAUUAAAACAUAUAGUACCUUAUUUGCAUAAAUCAGAAGUAGAUCUCAAAAAUCUUAUUAAUAAUAAGAGAACUAAACGCGCUUGGUUAAAUAUCGUUGGCGAUGCUCUAAAAACUGCUUUUGGUACACUUGAUGAAGCAGAUGCUAAAUAUUAUAAUGGAAUUAUAAAUCAGAUAAACAAAAACGAAUAUAAUUUAGGCAAACUUUUAAAACAACAAAUAAUGGUAGUAAAUUCGACAAUAGCGAACUUUAACAAUACCAUCACAGAUUUGAAUAAGAACUCCAAAAUUUUUGAAGAAAAUCUUAUACAAAUAAGUAACUAUUCCCGUAAAAUAAACAAUAGGUAUCUUGCAUUAGAAUUAAAACAAAAUUUAGACGAACACUUUUCUUUAUUAAAUCUAGUUAUUACAACAUUACAAAACGAAAUAACGACCGUUAUGGACACGAUUUUACUUUCUAGAUCAAACAUUUUACACCCUUAUGUCAUAACACCAUUUCAAUUGAUCGAAGAAUUGAGUAAAACAAUUCCACAUUUACCUAGUUCAUCUACGUAUCCUUUACCAGUUAGCCGCGAAAAUGCACACAAAUAUUUAGAAUUACUCACAAUCAAAUGUUUCUUCACCGACAACAGAAUUGGCUAUGUUCUAUCAAUACCUCUUGUAAAUCGAAAUCAAUUUAAUC